UUGAUUGACAUUUUGCUCAUUUUACUGGUUGAAACCUUUCCUUUACAAGAUGAUAUUUACUUCCACCGUAUCAUUCAUAUGGAUCUAUACAUGAUUGUGCUUAUUUUUUCUAGCUAGGAAAUAUUUGUGCAAAGAUAUGUUUACUGAAGGUAGAAGAUAUUGAGGGUGCAGAGAAGUGUUUGGGGUGUUGAUUGCUUCAAUUAAAUGUAAUCAUUGUGCUAUUACCUAAUGUAUAGUUGCUAAUAAGAUGCCGCUUGUGCACCCAAUUUACGAGAGUUUGAGUCAAAGUGCAUUUGUUCGUGGCUACCUCUUUGGUGGCUAUGGAAGAUCAACUGUGCUAAAGCCAGCCUUGCAAGGAGGUGCUGUAAAUUGAGGAUAUAUUUGUGAGGGAGCCAUACAAGAGGAGAGGGUUGGGGAUGGUACUGGUGGUGAUCCAGCUAGUGGGUGGCAAGCAUAAGCUUCAGGCGGGUGAGUGGCGUGUUGGAUUGGAGUGCCAAUGCCAUCAAGUUCUAUAAGGAGAUGGGAGCUGAUGUUUUGCAAGAGGGGAGAAUCUGCAGGCGUAUGUAGAGGACAGCCUUUGGGGCUGAGGAGUACUUUUGGACGGAAUAGGCCGGUGGAACUCAUGAAGACAUUUGAGACUGACAAGCACUAGUAUCUGAUGCUCUGUUCCAGGAUAAUGUCCAAUCCAAAUAAGUCAAAAGGUAUACAGUGAAGUGUGGAAGGACAAUGUGAGAAACGACAAGCAUUUUUGUGGAGCACUAACGUAUGUGAAAAAAACAUCACAAUGAGAAGGCACCUUCAGAUCAACAGAUGUGCGGUAAGUAGAAUUGGCGAACAAAAGCCGCUUGAUAUCAGUCCAUUUACCAACUCCGCAUUUUGAAACACC